rnacentral:rRNA from 1 species
UACGAAGGGGGCUAGCGUUGUUCGGAAUUACUGGGCGUAAAGCGCGCGCAGGCGGUCUUCCAAGUCAGUGGUGAAAGCCUGGAGCUCAACUCCAGAACUGCCAUUGAAACUGUUAGACUUGAGUACGAGAGAGGUGAGUGGAAUUCCCAGUGUAGAGGUGAAAUUCGUAGAUAUUCGGAAGAACACCAGUGGCGAAGGCGACUUACUGGACACAUAUUGACGCUGAGGUGCGAAAGCGUGGGGAGCAAACAGG